ACAGCAGUAGCCGCGGGAAUACGUAGGUGGCAAGCGUUGCCCGGAAUUAUUGGGCGUAAAGGGCUCGCAGGCGGUUUCUUAAGUCUGAUGUGAAAGCCCCCGGCUCAACCGGGGAGGGUCAUUGGAAACUGGGAAACUUGAGUGCAGAAGAGGAGAGUGGAAUUCCACGUGUAGCGGUGAAAUGCGUAGAGAUGUGGAGGAACACCAGUGGCGAAGGCGACUCUCUGGUCUGUAACUGACGCUGAGGAGCGAAAGCGUGGGGAGCGAACAGGAUUAGAUACCCCCGUAGUCCCUGUCUCUUAUAC
rnacentral:rRNA from 1 species